CAAGUACUCCCUCUGUCCGGAAUUACUUGUCAUCAAAAUGGAUGUGUCUAGAACUAAAAUACAUCUAGAUACAUCCAUUUCAUUGACAAGUAAUUUCGGACGGAGGGAGUACAAG
rfam:Triticum aestivum genome assembly, contig: Triticum_aestivum_CS42_TGACv1_scaffold_200342_3AL